rnacentral:rRNA from 1 species
AGGAUUCCCUUAGUAACUGGGAGUGAAGCGGGAAAAGUUCAAAUUUAAAUUCUGCCAGUCUUUGGCUGUCCGAGUUGUAAUUUAGAGAAGCACUGCCGGCGUUGGACUGUGUCCAAUUUUCCUGGAAUGGAGCGUCAUAGAGGGUGAGAAUCCCGUAUAUGACCCAGUUGCCAGGGCUUAGUGGCCUGUUUUCCAAGAGUGGAGUUGUUUGGGAAUGCAGUUCAAAAUGGGUGGUAAAUUCCAUUUAAAGUUAAAUCCAGGGGAGAAACCGAUAGCGACCAAGUCCCGUGAGGGAAAGAUGAAAAGAACUUUGGAAAGAGAGUUAACCAGUACGUGAAAUUGUUGAAAGGGAAACGCUUGAAGUCAGUCCCAUUGCUGGAAAUCCCACUUGCUUUCAUUGCUUGUGGUUCUUUCUUAGUAAUGGGUCAGCAUCAGUUUUGAUUGUUGGCCAAGGGUUGGAGGAAUGUGGCAUCCUGGGAUGUGUUAUACCCUCUGAUCAUAUGCAAUGAUGGAGACUGAGGACUCGGCACUCUGUGCUAGGAUGC